rnacentral:rRNA from 1 species
GACGAACGCUGGCGGCGUGCUUAACACAUGCAAGUCGAACGGAAAGGCCCUGCUUUUUUGGUGUGCUCGAGUGGCGAUCGGGUGAGUAACACGUGAGUAACCUGCCCUUCACUUUGGGAUAACUUCAGGAAACUGGGGCUAAUACCGGAUAGCAUCUCCUGCUCCAUGGUGGGGGUUGGAUAGUUUCGGCGGUUGGGGAUGGACUCGCGGCUUAUCAGCUUGUUGGUGGGGUAGUGGCUUACCAAGGCUUUGACGGGUAGCCGGCCUGAGAGGGUGACCGGGCACAUGGGGACUGAGAGACGGCCCAGACUCCUACGGGAGGCAGCAGGGGGGAAUAUGGCACAAUGGGCGGAAGCCUGAUGCAGCAACGCCGCGUGCGGGAUGACGGCCUGCGGGUUAAAAAAAGCUUUCGCCUGUGACGAAGCGUGAGUGACGGUAAUGGGUAAAGAAGCACCGGCUAACUACGUG